GGCUUGGUGGCGUAAUGGUAACGCGCUCCAUGGUUAUCUAAUGCAUUUGUAUAUCAUUUGACGGAAAGUCCGGAGUUCGAUUCUCCGUCAAGCCA